CGCCUGCCGGCGACCGGCGCACGGGUGAGUAACACGUAUGCGACCUGCCCCCGCAGGGGGAUAACCGGGAGAAAUCCCGACUAAUACCGCGUAACGCCGCGGGACCUGCAUGGGUCUGCGGCCAAAGGAAGCGAUUCCGGCGGGGGAUGGGCAUGCGGCGCAUUAGCUAGUCGGCGGGGUAACGGCCCACCGAGGCGACGAUGCGUAGGGGUUCUGAGAGGAAGGUCCCCCACACUGGUACUGAGACACGGACCAGACUCCUACGGGAGGCAGCAG
rnacentral:rRNA from 1 species